CUUUUUCAGGGCAGUGCUGGAGUCACCAUCCUGAAGUAUUCAAAAAAUGUGUGGAUAUGGCACUUGAGGACAUAGUUUAAUGGUGAACAUGGUAGUGGCACUAGAUUGACAGUUAGACUUGAUGAUCUUAAAAGUCUUUUCCAAUCUUAAUGAUUCU